rnacentral:rRNA from 1 species
UACGGGGGGAGCAAGCGUUGUUCGGAUUUACUGGGCGUAAAGGGCGCGUAGGCGGCCACUGCAAGUCAGUUGUGAAAUCUCCGGGCUUAACUCGGAAAGGUCAACUGAUACUGCAGGGCUAGAGUGCGGAAGGGGCAACUGGAAUUCUCGGUGUAGCGGUGAAAUGCGUAGAUAUCGAGAGGAACACCUGCGGCGAAGGCGGGUUGCUGGGCCGACACUGACGCUGAGGCGCGAAAGCCAGGGGAGCAAACGGG